UACAGAGGUCUCAAGCGUUGUUCGGAUUCAUUGGGCGUAAAGGGUGCGUAGGCGGUUCGUUAUGUCGGAUGUGAAAGCCCUUGGCUUAACCGAGGAAGUGCAUCCGAAACUGGCGAGCUAGAGUACUAAAGAGGAUCGCGGAAUUCCCGGUGUAGAGGUGAAAUUCGUAGAUAUCGGGAGGAACACCGGUGGCGAAGGCGGCGAUCUGGGUAGAUACUGACGCUGAGGUGCGAAAGCGUGGGGAGCAAACAGG
rnacentral:rRNA from 1 species